AACGAACGCUGGCGGCAUGCCUAACACAUGCAAGUCGAACGAGAUCUUCGGGUCUAGUGGCGCACGGGUGCGUAACGCGUGGGAAUCUGCCCUUUGGUUCGGAAUAGCAGUUGGAAACGACUGCUAAUACCGGAUGAUGACGAAAGUCCAAAGAUUUAUCGCCAGAGGAUGAGCCCGCGUAGGAUUAGCUAGUUGGUGUGGUAAAGGCGCACCAAGGCGACGAUCCUUAGCUGGUCUGAGAGGAUGAUCAGCCACACUGGGACUGAGACACGGCCCAGACUCCUACGGGAGGCAGCAGUGGGGAAUAUUGGACAAUGGGCGAAAGCCUGAUCCAGCAAUGCCGCGUGAGUGAUGAAGGCCUUAGGGUUGUAAAGCUCUUUUACCCGGGAUGAUAAUGCCAGUACCGGGAGAAUAAGCUCCGGCUAACUCCGUGCCAGCCGCCGCAGUAA
rnacentral:rRNA from 1 species